rnacentral:rRNA from 1 species
UACAGAGGGGGCAAGCGUUGUUCGGAAUUACUGGGCGUAAAGGGCGCGUAGGCGGCCCGCUAAGUCGAACGUGAAAUCCCUGGGCUUAACCCAGGAACUGCGUCCGAUACUGGCAGGCUUGAAUCCGGAAGAGGGAUGCGGAAUUCCAGGUGUAGCGGUGAAAUGCGUAGAUAUCUGGAGGAACACCGGUGGCGAAGGCGGCAUCCUGGACCGGUAUUGACGCUGAGGCGCGAAAGCCAGGGGAGCAAACGGG